rnacentral:rRNA from 1 species
CCUACGGGUGGCAGCAGUGGGGAAUAUUGGACAAUGGGCGAAAGCCUGAUCCAGCCAUGCCGCGUGUGUGAAGAAGGCCUUCGGGUUGUAAAGCACUUUCAGUGGGGAAGAAAGCCUUGGGGCUAAUACCCUCGAGGAAGGACAUCACCCACAGAAGAAGCACCGGCUAACUCCGUGCCAGCAGCCGCGGUAAUACGGAGGGUGCGAGCGUUAAUCGGAAUUACUGGGCGUAAAGCGCGCGUAGGCGGUCUGAUAAGCCGGUUGUGAAAGCCCCGGGCUCAACCUGGGAACGGCAUCCGGAACUGUCAGGCUAGAGUGCAGGAGAGGAAGGUAGAACUCCCGGUGUAGCGGUGAAAUGCGUAGAGAUCGGGAGGAAUACCAGUGGCGAAGGCGGCCUUCUGGACUGACACUGACGCUGAGGUGCGAAAGCGUGGGUAGCAAACAGGAUUAGAUACCCCAGUAGUC